rnacentral:rRNA from 1 species
UAAGGAAUAUUGGUCAAUGCCCGGAAGGGUGAACCAGCCAUCCCGCGUGAAGGAUGAAGGGGCUCUGCCUUGUAAACUUCUUUUGUAUGGGGCGAAAAAAGGGGAUUUAUCCUCGACUGACGGUACCAUAAGAAUAAGCACCGGCUAACUCCGUGCCAGCAGCCGCGGUAAUACGGAGGGUGCGAACGUUAUCCGGAAUCACUGGGUUUAAAGGGUGCGUAGGCUGUUUAAUAAGUCAGUGGUGAAAGGCCGUCGCUUAACGAUGGGACUGCCAUUGAUACUGUUAGACUUGAAUCAGGUUGAGGUUGGCGGAAUGUGGCAUGUAGCGGUGAAAUGCAUAGAUAUGCCAUGGAAUACCGAUUGCGAAGGCAGCUGACUGGACCUUGANUUGACGCUGAGGCACGAAAGCGUGGGUAGCGAACAGGAUUAGAUACCCUGGUAGUCCACGCCCUAAACGAUGCUUACUCGUUGUUUGUCCUUCGGGAUGAGUGACUAAGCGAAAGCGAUAAGUAAGCCACCUGGGGAGUACG